rnacentral:rRNA from 1 species
AUUGAACGCUGGCGGCAGGCCUAACACAUGCAAGUCGAACGAGUGGCGGACGGGUGAGUCAUGUCUGGGAAACUGCCCGUUGGAGGGGGAUAACUACUGGAAACGGUAGCUAAUACCGCAUACCAUCGGAUGUGCCCAGAUGGGAGUAGCUAGUAGGUGGGGUAAGGGCUCACCUAGGCGACGCUCCGGAGCUGGUCUGAGAGGAUGACCAGCCACACUGGAACUGAGACAGGGUCCAGAGGCCUACGGGAGGGAGCAGUGGGGAAUAUUGCACAAUAGGCGCAAGCCUGGUGCAGCCAUGCCGCGUGUAUGAAGAAGGCCUUCGGGUUGUAAGGUACUUUCAGCGAGGAGGCGUUACGAGCAGAAGAAGCACCGGCUAACUCCGUGCCAGCAGCCGCGGUAAUUC